ensembl:miRNA
CACGCCGCCGUCCUGGGCUCUUUUCACAUUGUGCUACUGUCUGAGCCCCUGCCAAGCAGUGCAAUGUCAAAAGGGCAUCGGGCAGGCGGUGCCGGCAG